AUUUCACAGAAUCAUGGAAUGGUUUGGGUUGGAAGGAACCCUAAAGACCAUCUAGUUUGGCCCCCCCCGCCAUGGGCAGGGACAGAUUUGGCCACUGGGCUCUUGGCCUUGAGGAGACCUCUGGGUGGGCUGAACUUGAGCUCGGCUUUAGGGAGCGUAGAGAUCCUGGGUGACUUGGUAGAGGGUGUGUUCAGUGACCUCCUGGAAGUACUGGCAGCACAGCCACUCCUCAAGGCCAGGUCUGCCCCCUGCCCUGGUCGAAUUCUCUGCAAACCUCAGGAGCAGCAGAGCCCUUUUCACCUCCACCCAGCUCUGGAGCAGUGGGAGGGUCUUCCUGCUCCUGGCAAAGAGCUCCUGGCGUGGCCCCCAGAGCAGGACCUGCAGGAUUCUCCUGGCCUGGGGGAUGGAGACCCUCCUGGAGGGAUCUCUGUGGAGGAGCAGCGUGGCCACGCGCCGGAGUCCCGCGGAGUAGAUGGACAGGGAGGGGAUUUCAGGAAGCCUGUUGCUUCUGAACCCCAGGGUGUCCUCCAGAGAGAUGUCCACGUGCAGGAUCUGAUAGAUCAGCCUGCCCAGCUUCAGCUCAUCUGCUGCUGGGGCGCUGGGUGCAGCCAGGCCCUUGGUCCAGUCCUGCUCUUGGCUGGUGGAACAAGGUCUUUGCUUCUCUUUGGCCUUGAAGAAGCUGCUGAUGAGCAGCCGGGGGAGGGACAGUCCCAGGGGCUCCCUUUUGCCUUGCUGGCUCCCAGGAGGAUACGGGCACUGCACCAGCAGCAGGUUCUCAGGGCUGAGGUCCCCUUGCCCCCCGUUCUGCCCCUGAAGGUGCUCCAGCCCCAGGCACAGCUGCAGGAGCAGGAGACAGCCCAGGCGUUCGUAGUGCCCAGGGCUGGUCCUGUGCAACCCCUGGGAUCCCUUCACGAAGUCUGCCAGGGUCUGGUGGGGAACCUCGGCACAAAUGAGCACCUGCAGGACAGGGUGGGUGGCAGGACAGGCAGGUUCCUGUCUGGAAGAGGAUUGGCUCUGCUCUCCAGGGUUUCCUGGGAGCAGCAGC
rnacentral:lncRNA from 1 species